rnacentral:rRNA from 1 species
UGGAUGAUGUGGAUUAAUUCGAUGCAACGCGAAAACCUUACCUACCCUUGACAUGUCUGGAGCCUUGGUGAGAGCCGAGGGUGCCUUCGGGAGCCAGAACACAGGUGCUGCAUGGCUGUCGUCAGCUCGUGUCGUGAGAUGUUGGGUUAAGUCCCGCAACGAGCGCAACCCUUGUCACUAGUUGCCAUCAUUCAGUUGGGCACUUUAGAGAGACUGCCGGUGUUAAACCGGAGGAAGGUGGGGAUGACGUCAAGUCCUCAUGGCCUUUAUGCCCAGGGCUACACACGUGCUACAAUGGGUGGUACAAAGAGCAGCCAGCUCGCGAGAGUGAGCAAAUCUCAAAAAGCCAUCCUCAGUUCGGAUUGGAGUUUGCAACUCGACUCCAUGAAGUUGGAAUCGCUAGUAAUCGCGGAUCAGCAUGCCGCGGUCGAAUACGUUCCCGGGCCUU